AGUAAACAAACAGACGAUUAACACUAUUAACAGCAAUUAUGGAAUCAAACUUAUUGCAAAAUGUGGUAGUUCUGUAUGUUGUCUCUGGGUUAGCAUCAUCUGAGGUCCUCUGAGGGGCUGGCAUCAUCUCUUCUCAGGUGUGACUUUAAUAAGAAAGUCAUUCAGUCAUUCAUUCAAACGGCUGAUUCAUUAAGUGAUUCAGUAAGUGACAGUCUUUAUGAAUGACUCAUUGAAUCAAUGAUUCAAAACUGCGAUUCAUUCAGUAACGAAACACUGCUGUGUCUCGUUCAGAGACGGAUAACAGUUAGGUUUUGUUCGGAACUAUUUUCAUUGGCGAAAUUGAACAAUAUUGUGUUUCUUGUUUACUGAACCUGUAAAAUCGUGCAGAUAUUCAGGGGAAAACAGCACUUGCUUGUGUGUCAUUGCUAAACUAUAUAAUAUGAUUUAACGGCAUUUAUUUCCCCUCAGGGAUCCCGGUUAUCCUGUCAGGGCUUAUUCUGCGAUAUCAACCGGAUGACUGUACAUUAUGGCCUACUUACUAUAUGUACUUUUUCAAUGUCCUUUGGGGGGUUCAAACUGUAAUCAGGGGGUAUGAAGGGUUUCUGAACAGUACUCCAUGUGCGUAUGCACUAGGACACACUGACACAGGAUUAUGGGAAGGUGUUGACAGCCCAUGACCCCGCUGGAGGCAGGCCAGUAGCAGAGGAGCGUGUGAUGGAGAGAGUGUAAAAAUGCAGGAUUAAUGAGGCUCUUUGAAGCGAAGAAUGGGGAGGAUCAGAGAAGUGGACCGUAGACCAUUAACACUGAGCUGAAUCACUUCCUUAUGAAGCAGGAAGAGAUUUAUCUUACAUCACAACAGUGUCGACACGGAUAUAACUGUCAUCAGUCACAAUUCAAGUCAAAACAUCAGAUGAUUACAGCAGAAAAAAAGUCCUUACCGAGGACUAAAUCCUGGAUUUUGGUGUCGGGGUCGUCCAUGUAGAGCAGCAGCUGCUGGAACAGGAACUCUAGGUGUGGGCGGCACGACUGAGUGUCAUAGUUCUUCCCCAGAGAUGAGAACCACGUGCUCAGAGACUUCAGCGCUUCGACACGGACGUCUUCACUGCUGUCGUCCACACGCUUCAGCAGCUCUGAACACACACAGAUACACUCAGAAAAACAUCUACAACCUCACACACACUGAAUUAUGAAAGUGUGCAAUAACAAUUAUUAUACAGACAGAUAUGCUUUUAUUUAU
ensembl:lncRNA